CCUACGGGAGACAGCAGUGAGGAAUAUUGGUCAAUGGGCGGAAGCCUGAACCAGCCAAGUCGCGUGAGGGAAUAAGGCCCUACGGGUCGUAAACCUCUUUUGCCGGGGAGCAAGGGCGGGGACGUGUCCCGGCCCGGAGAGUACCCGGAGACAAAGCAUCCGCUAACUCCGUGCCAGCAGCCGCGGUAAUACGGGGGAUGCGAGCGUUAUCCGUAUUUCUUGGGUUUAAAGGGUGCGUAGGCGGGCUUUUAAGUCAGCGGUAAAAAUUCGGGGCUCAACCCCGUCCUGCCGUUGAAACUGGGGGCCGUGAGUGGGCGAGAAGAAGGCGGAAUGCGUGGUGUAGCGGUGAAAUGCAUAGAUAUCACGCAGAACCCCGAUUGCGAAGGCAGCCUUCCGGCG
rnacentral:rRNA from 1 species